UAAAAGUUUUAUUCUAGCUAGAAAGUUCUCUGUUGGAUUGGUUCACAUGUAAGAAAUAAGCGAGAGGUAAUAAAGGGGUCUUAAAGAUACCUGAAAGUAGUUUAUUCGCAGUGUUUUGUAUUGGUUGGUCAAGGAACCUUGGAUCCAGUAAUUUGUAUAGUUCCGGCAAAACUCGUGCCAGCCGCCGCGGUUACACGAAGGGGGUGAGAGUACUUUAUUGGCUUGUAAUUAGCUGUAGUUGGUGGUUGAAAGUAUAAUUUUGUUGGGUGAAAUUUUAAAGUUUGAGUUAACCGAGAAUUAGUUGAGCGAAGUUACGAAAUUUGGGUAGAAAACUAGGAUUAGAUACCCUACUAUUCCAAGCGUUAAUAAAGGGCCAGAGUAGUAAUAGUUAUGUUCUUGAAACUCAAAGAAUUUGGCGGUGUUUUAGUCCAUUCAGAGGAACCUGCCCCGUAAUCGAUAAUCCACGUUAAACUUAACUUAGGUUUAUUUAGCUUGUAUACCGCCGUCGAAAGAGGAAUUUUUAAGAAUCCCCUCUAACACCUAUACUAAGGUAGAUGUCAGGUCAAGGUGCAGUUUAUGUCUAAGGGGAGGUGGGUUACAAUAAGGAUACUUAAACGGAAAUUCACAGGAAGUAGGUGAAUUGAAGGUGGAUUUGAGUGUAAUAGUUUUGAAAUUAAACCUAUGAAAUUGGCUCUAAAACAAGCACACAUCGCCCGUCGCUCUCGUUUAUUUAAGGCGAGAUAAGUCGUAACAAAGUAGGUGUACCGGAAGGUGCUUCUAGAAUGAA
rnacentral:ncRNA from 1 species